GUGCCAGCAGCCGCGGUAAGACGGAGGGGGCAAGCGUUGUCCGGAAUUACUGGGCGUAAAGCGCUCGUAGGCGGUCAGCUACGGCGGCGGUGAAAGCUCCCGGCUCAACUGGGAGAGGCCCGCCGCAACGGGUUGACUCGAGGGUGGUAGAGGCAGAUGGAAUUCCUGGUGUAGCGGUGAAAUGCGUAGAGAUCAGGAGGAACACCCAUGGCGAAGGCAGUCUGCUGGGCCACACCUGACGCUGAGGAGCGAAAGCUAGGGGAGCGAACGGGAUUAGAAACCCGCGUAGUCC
rnacentral:rRNA from 1 species